AAGGCAUUUUUGUCAUAUGGAAGUGUUUUUUUUUUUAAAUAUUUUUCAUAUCAAAAUAGAGAAAUGGUUCUUUAAUAAAUUUUUUCUAUCUAAGAAUUUCCAAAGGCACUUUCUCUAGUGUAUAUGUUUUUUCUACCUAAGAAGUCUCAUAGAGAUGUUUGCCUAUCUAGUGAUCUGCAAUAUAUUUGCAACUUUAAAUGCUACUGCUAAAAUUUUCUUGCGUAGAAGACUUUGUUCAUUUAUUUUCUUCAGCGCUUUGAUGAUAUAUCUAUAUUGAACCUUCUAUAGAAGCCUAUAAUUGAUAGACUUGGAGAAGUUUAUGACAGCCCCUGCAAAGACACAGUUGGCCUUACAAUUGUGUUAGGCCAUUGGGGAGAACGGAGGGGGUGGUGAAUCUCACAAAGAUGCAGCUUGUGAACUUUUCGAGAGUUUGGAACUACUUCUGUAUGAAAACCUUUCAUCCAGUCGUCUUGGUUGGGAAAGUUGCGUACAAUAAUAGAGAGAUUACAACAAAUUAAUUUAUAAGAAAUGAUAUCCACUAUCAAUGAUAAAUUGAUUCAUGAAAUGAUUUGUAACCCUUGUUCAUCAUCCACCUAUCAGUGAUACAAGAAAUGAUCUGCUGUGAUGGUAUGUUACCAAGUAUUAAUACAUAAUUUUGGCCAACAUAAAUUGAUUUGGAUUUGCAUAACAGGUGGCAAGCUCUCGAAUCUCAGAUGUGAGGGUCUGGAGGCGUGUGAUCAUUUGGACUUAAUGAAUGAAACCUGCUAUAUGAUUAUUUAGGCUUAUUCAUGUUAUUUGUUCUUGUCAAAUGCAGGUUCACGUAUCAAAGAAAGGAAAGAAGAAGAAGUAGAUAUGACAAACUCAAUGAAAGAAGGCUGCUGGAGAAAUUCUCUUUUGGAGCAACAUUUUAAGCAUUGUCUUAGGAGUUUUUGAGCUGUUUGGGAAAAGAUUGAAAGUUGGGGGAGGGGGUGGGAUGGAAAACUUAUGUUUGGGUCCCAUAUUACAGUGACAGGUUGAUGUAGUUGCAUCUCUAUUGAUGGCUAAUAAGAGGGAGCCCUGCCAAGCACAUAACUAUUGGAAAAGGUGCUUCAUAUAUGUGUGUAUUUGAUGCACACUACUCUUACAUGUAACAUGACAUUUUUUAUUUUUCUACAUGAUGAAAUUUUGAGACCAGAAAUGUAGCCUUCAGUUUUAUGUUCUUUGAUUGGAAGAUGACAUUCAAA